rnacentral:rRNA from 1 species
AAGCUCGUAGUUGAAUUUCGGAAUGUGGCUGGGCGGUCCGCCUCACGGUGUGUACUGUCUGGCUGUGUUCUCUUUCUUGGUGAGCCGGCAUGCCCUUUACUGGGUGUGUUGGGGAACCAGGACGUUUACCUUGAGAAAAUUAGAGUGUUCAAAGCAGGCCUACGCCCGAAUACAUUAGCAUGGCAUAAUAAAAUAGGACGUGCGGUUCUAUUUUGUUGGUUUCUAGAGCCGCAGUAAUGAUUAAUAGGGAUAGUUGGG